rnacentral:rRNA from 1 species
CCUACGGGUGGCAGCAGUGGGGAAUAUUGCGCAAUGGGCGAAAGCCUGAUGCAGCGACGCCGCGUGAGGGAUGAAGGUCUUCGGAUCGUAAACCUCUGUCAGCAGGGAAGAACGGUCACUGUGCUAAUCAGCAGUGAAUUGACGGUACCUGCACAGGAAGCACCGGCUAACUCGGUGCCAGCAGCCGCGGUAAUACGGAGGGUGCGAGCGUUAAUCGGAAUUACGGGGCGUAAGGCGAUCGUAGGGGGUUUGUCAAGUCAAGGGUGAAAUCCCCGGGCUCAACGUGGGAACUGCCUUUGAAACGGGCAAACUAGAGUGUGGGAGAGGAUAGUGGAAUUCCAGGUGUAGGAGUGAAAUGCGUAGAUAUCUGGAGGAACAUCAGUGGCGAAGGCGAGUAUCUGGCACAUAACUGACGCUGAGGAGCGAAAGCGUGGGUAGCGAACAGGAUUAGAUACCCCAGUAGUC